rnacentral:rRNA from 1 species
CCCGGGGUGUAACCUGCGUAUCCCCCCCACCGGUCCACACAGACGGGGUGGGUGGGCACCUCGAUGGCCGCUCAUCAAGUCCGGGGGCUGUAGUAGGUCCCAAGGGUUGGGCUGUUCGCCCAUUAAAGUGGUACGCGAGCUGGGUUCAGAACGUCGUGAGACAGUUCGGUCCCUAUCCGUCGCAGGCGUAGGAAAUUUGCGCAGACCUGUCCUUAGUACGAGAGGACCGGGAUGGACGUACCUCUGGUGUACCAGUUGU